AUUGAACGCUGGCGGCAGGCCUAACACAUGCAAGUCGAGCGGAUGAAGGGAGCUUGCUCCUGGAUUCAGCGGCGGACGGGUGAGUAAUGCCUAGGAAUCUGCCUGGUAGUGGGGGAUAACGUCCGGAAACGGGCGCUAAUACCGCAUACGUCCUGAGGGAGAAAGUGGGGGAUCUUCGGACCUCACGCUAUCAGAUGAGCCUAGGUCGGAUUAGCUAGUUGGUGGGGUAAAGGCCUACCAAGGCGACGAUCCGUAACUGGUCUGAGAGGAUGGUCAGUCACACUGGAACUGAGACACGGUCCAGACUCCUACGGGAGGCAGCAGUGGGGAAUAUUGGACAAUGGGCGAAAGCCUGAUCCAGCCAUGCCGCGUGUGUGAAGAAGGUCUUCGGAUUGUAAAGCACUUUAAGUUGGGAGGAAGGGCAGUAAGUUAAUACCUUGCUGUUUUGCCGUUACCAACAGAAUAAGCACCGGCUAACUUCGUG
rnacentral:rRNA from 1 species